rnacentral:lncRNA from 1 species
GAUAAUAAGCUUGGGGAAGGUGGUUAUGGUGCGGUUUUCAAAGGAAGGCUAGAUGAUGGUCGUCUAGUGGCUGUGAAAUUCUUGCACAACUCCAAAGGAGAAGGAGAGGAGUUUGUUAACGAGGUUAUGAGCAUUGGCAGGACCUCUCAUGUUAAUAUUGUUAACUUAUUUGGGUUUUGUUUGGAAGGCUCAAAGCGGGCCCUAAUAUAUGAGUUCAUGCCCAAUGGUUCUUUGGAUAAGUUCAUAUACUCAGAGAAUCCUAAAGCAGUUUUAGGAUGGGAUAAGCUCUAUACAAUAGCGAUUGGAAUUGCUCGAGGAUUGGAAUACUUGCAUCACAGUUGUAAUACACGCAUUAUCCAUUUUGAUAUCAAGCCUCAAAAUAUCCUUCUAGAUGAGGAUUUUCACCCAAAGGUUGCUGAUUUCGGUUUGGCCAAAUUGUGCCAUACCAAGGAGAGCAAGCUUUCUAUGACUGGUGCUAGAGGGACAGUUGGUUUUAUUGCUCCUGAAGUGCACUCUCGAACCUUUGGAGUUGUUUCAACAAAAUCAGAUGUUUAUAGUUAUGGAAUGAUGCUAUUAGAGAUGGUUGGAGGUAGAAAAAAUGUGAAAUCAGUUGCUCAGAAAUCAAGUGAAAAGUAUUUUCCACAUUGGAUUUAUGAUCAUUUUAGACAAGGUGAUGGAUUACAAGCAUGUGAGGUCUCAAGUGAAGAUGAAGGAAUAGCCAAAAAGAUGAGUGUGAUUGGCCUGUGGUGCAUCCAAAUACUACCAAUGCAUCGCCCUACAAUAGCAAAGGUUUUGGAAAUGUUUGAGCGAGGUUUAGAUGAUUUGGACAUGCCACCGAGACAAAACUUCAGCCAAAUUCUGUAAGAUGUUCACGAUACUUAUUUCUGCAACUGCUCACUACUAUUUACUAUAGCAUUGAUGUUUUAGAAACAAUUUUUUUCAUUCUUUUGCAGCGAGGAUCCAUCUUACAAUUUGAAUGCAGAAAGCACGAGUACAAGAAGUGGUACCAAAACUCAAGUUUUUAGCGAAGUGCUAAAAAUGAAGGAGAUGAGCGUUGUGAAUUCAAAAAGCUUACAUCGGCUACCAACUCUGUGACAAGGUUACCUAGCAUUGGAAUUAUGCACUGAACUUAUGCAUCUAUAUGAGAGAGGGUAGAAAUCUUAAGUUACUCUGAUACUUGUCUCAAAAGAAACAUGCCUACUAUAAUAUUUUGCAUUCAAAGUCAUUAAGGUCCCAAGAAGGAAAGUUUUGCAACUAUGCAUACGAUAUUUUGACAUAAUCCUAAUAUUUCUAUAUUUUUGUUAGUUAGACCUUCUCAUUGUUCUUCGUCGACGUACCAGCACACCUUAUAGUCAUCCAUCACCAAAAAUCUCCCAAAUGCUAAUUUUACAUUUUUACCAGAAUUAGGUAACUGAAAAGGUAUCCAAGACAUUACACAUACUAGAAAAAAAUCAAGGCAUCACAGUUUUCAAGUCAUGGCCUUAUUAGUAGAGUCGAUCAGCAUAUAGUUGGAUCCUGGAUUAUUGCCAUGUUGAAAUACGAGGAUGAAGGCAUGAAGCUGAUCGUAGCCAUGAGUCACGACACACAUAUAACUGAGGCCUAAAGGGGCAUAAAUUUUGCUUGACUGAUUGAGUUAGGUUCCAAACACCGGUGCAUCAGCUAUGAAGUUUCUUAGUUUAAUCUUCAGGUUCCAAUCAAAAGUUAAGGUUGACAGUUGAAACCCACAAGCCGUCCAAGUGAACCCAAAAAAGAAAACUACUCAAUCCAAAUACUCAUGGUCUCAAUGCAAAAUCAGAAUACGUUUUCGAACAAUAGAAGCACCAAAUGAAAUUGAUCUACGCAUCUGAUAACUAAAAAUCAUAUCUGUGGGUAAAUCGAUUAUAAUUCUUCUGGAAGUAUGGAACCAGUCGAAGUGCGUGAUACUUACAAGGGUAGGUUAGGCAUGCGUACCCAAAGGGUUUACGCCACUGAUGGUGCAAGAUUGGAUUAGUGCUGCAGCCUCUCCAUCUGCCACCCUAAUCACCGGCACGGAGCCAGCGAUGCAGCAAGGUGCAGAGUGGAGAGUUUUUUUUGGGAGAUUUGCUCAUGCCCUCAUGGGAUGGUACCAGAUACCAGCUGCUAUUGCGCCGUAGGAGAUGGCUGGGGAUGGUGUUGUAACUGCUGUUCACUGCUGCGCGUCUCGACGGCGAGACGGCAACGGCAGCAGCUCGGCUACUCAUUCGUCAGGCGUUGCGGCCUAGAGCGGAUCUCCAUGGACCGAGCCCAUCUAGUGGUGAGGGUCCAUCAUGAAAAGUUGGACCGUGCCAGGUCCAUGUAGGCACGCCGUCGCCUCCGAUGACCCAAUGCAAUUUGUCAGCGUUUCCAAAAAAAAUACAAUUUGUGUACUUUAAAGAAAGAAUACAACUUAUCAGAGAAAUUCCACAUGUAUAUGAUCUGUGGUCUAUGCAGAUCCCAACAAACAUCAGUAUUUGGGAAGGUGACAGGGGUUUUGUUUUCAGGAAGCUGGUGUUGGAGGUAUGCCCUAGAGGCAAUCAUAGAGAUGAUGACAUUCCAUUUGUAUCCAUGAUUUGUAUGUUGAAUAUCCAUUGAAGGCUACUUGAAUUGAUUUGCAAUUAUGUGAAUUGUAUGUGAAACUCUUUACUUGUAUGGUUAUUCUAAAGUUGUCCCUAGUCGGAGUUCAUGUGAGGACACACAUGAAUAUUAGACUAGCACAUGUAUUAGUUGAUGACUAUGUUUCACAAGUCAUGGACAUGGAGAUGUUGAACUAAUAAUGUGGACACAUGUGGAGACAUGUGCUAGGACUGACCCAACACGAGAAGUAGUUCUCUCUUUAAACAACAUAUACGCUUUGUCCUUAGACCUGAGAUUGUCGCAUGUAUUCUAGAUGUGGAUCGACCUACUUAGGGGCUAUCAAACGCUACGCCGUAACAGGGUAGUUAUAAAGGUAGUUUUCGGGUUUGUCAAGAAGCAUGCUAUGAGACAUGGUCAAUCAAGAUGGGAUUUGCCCCUCUCUGAUUGAGAGUGAUAUCUCUGGGCCCCUCGAGUGAUCGGAUCCGAAAAUGCAUGGCCAUGCUACGUACGGUUAAGAGUUAACCUACAAAGGGAUUCCGAAUCACAGGAUCGAGAAAGAGCGGUCGGCUUGAAGCUAGACCAAAUAUCGUGAGGCAAAGGGAAUAGCAUGUAUAUUAUGUUGUGAUGGUUCGUCUGAUAUGAUCUUCGUGUGCGUAUAGGAGUUGGCACGUCUUGCUAGAGGCCGCUACCGACUAUUGGGCCGAGUAGGAGUACUCGGGCCAUGUCUAUACGUAUCCGAACCCAUAGGGUCACACACUUAAGGGGCUGGAAGCCCAAUUCGGAUCUGAUCCGAGUUGGAUUAGGUUUAGAAGUACUAAUGGGCCUCGGAUCCAGAGGUCCGUCAGGAACCUCUAUAAAUAGAGGGGUGGGGGCGCCCUAGGGUUUACACCUUUUUGGCGAAAACACACCUGCCGCGCCUCCCACGCCCUCGCCUGUUGCAACUCGCGGAUCUAGCAGUCCGGCUUGCGACGCUUCCUCCCUGCACGUGUGGAUACCUUGGAGGUGUUGCGCCUGCAGCACUUGGACGAGCCGCCGACGAGCCACCGACGAGCCACGACGAGCCGACGACGAGCCGCGGCACCGGAGGCGAUCUUGCUGCACGUGGACGAGCUGCUGAGGAGCUGCUGGACGUGAUCGACUACGUACGACUACGUUGAUCGACUACGUACGACUACGUAAUCGUCUUCACUGCAUCGACGCAUAUCUACAUCUUCCGCACCAGUAGUGCGUCGAGUGGUAAUCCCGUGAUCCUUAUACGGCAGUUCUUCCUGGUUAUACGCGGUAGAAUUUUGAAUUGCGCUAGUGUAGCCUACCUCGUAUCCCUACAGCUGGAUGCAUAACCUGGACGUUUUAGGUUGUGUUGUGUGGUGAAUACAGUGCUAGUCGUCUCCUCUGAUGCUCUCUUGAAAUGGCCGAGUGGCCGACGAUGUUUGUACCGGUCUGGAGUCCUUUCAAUAUCUAACUGUUGCCAGCUGUAUGUAGUUAACUUUCAAGGCUAAUCCCAGUGGGAGUUUCAUAGAUGUUUCAUGCACAUUAAAUACGGUGACACAUCAGCAUAUGUGAUGACAUGGCAUGGUAGUUAUGAAGUGAGAGAGGGAAGGGGUUUCAUCAGGAUGAAACUGUGUAUACACUGUUUCCAAGACUAUGAAACCUAUUGGAACUUGCAUUGGGGGCUAUAGAGUUUCAUUUCAUCUAACCAUAUCCAAUCACAUGCCUCACAAUUAAAUGUCAUGGGCAUCCUAUGAAAUUGUGAAAUGAAACUGUGCACUGGAACUCCCUGUUUCAUUCAUGAGAAUACACCUCAUGGGAUGAUGUGGCAUCCUUAGAAACAGUGCAAUGAAACCUUGCACUGGGACUAGCCUUAGUGUUUGGCAUAAAUGAGUGAAGCUUGCUUGGCCGACAAGAGCAUGUAUUACCCGGAGCUGAUCAAGCUCAGGGCGGGCAUCCAGUCACGGCAAUGUCUCAUGACAGUCGUCGCUUUGCCCGUCCCAUACGGGCACAUCGGACGUUUCCGUGCGCGCAUGACGAUGGUCCCAACGUGUCCACUCAAAGCUUUCUGCCGCUACAGUCUACACAGGGCGCGCGGACUCACCAGCUUCACCAUUUAGUCUGGCGCUUGUGCCUAUCUAUCUUGGUCUUAGAACUGAUUCACCACUCUGUUCGUCCUGCUACUGCCAUCAUCGAAACCUUCCCGCGCCAUACGCUCCCAUGGCUCCGUCGUCCUUGCUGCUCUUCCUCAUCUCGUCGGUGCCAGGUGAUGCUUGCGGCAGCAGCAGCAUACGUGCAAAGGAGGAAAGGACCGCGCGCCUGUGGUAUGCGGCAACCUCAGCAUCUCCUACCCGUUUGGCGUUUGGCGUUUGGGUUACUCUCGGAGGAAGCAACGGAGUAACUGCGCAGCGCAGUGCUCGGAUUCCAAGUCGUUUGCUCAGGCAACACCCUUUACCUCGGGUUAGGUUUUAAGGUAUCGUUGUAGAUUCUCAACAUCUUCUACGGCAUGGGCUCCUUACUCGUUGCCGAUGUCUACAAGCUCCACGACUUCAAUAGCUCCGCGCCCAACUGCUGCCAUGCCCCAGGUGUCAACGUCUCCACCAAGCCCAUUCUCAAUCAGCCCCGUCAAUCAGAACCUCAUAUUUUACAACUGCACCAAGCCAGCGGCAGAGGAGGUGAGGCAGAAACGCGGCCUUGUGGGGACGGCAUGCCGCAACAACACGUUUGUUCGCGCCGGAGGUAGUUACGACGACGAGGGGUCGGGCAGCUACAGCAAUUACUUUCUGGAGGGCUGCAACGCUACCGUCGUGCCGGUGCUUGGGAAUUCUGGCGAGGCGAACGCGAGCAGAUCCGAGAAGCUCAUCAGCGGCGGCUUUCUCUUGACAUGGUACGGUCGUCGUCGCCAGGUAAAUUUCACUAAGAUUAAUUUAAGACCAUCCUACAGGGAGAACGAUGAGCGCACGCGCGAGCAGCGGCAUGAAGGUCCAUGUGGGCGGCGGUGGCAAGCUCUGCACCGCGCCGGCGAGGCCGUGUGUUCGUCGACGGCGGCGACCGCGCGAGUAUGGUGGUGGCGAGAUCUAGCUAGGUGUGCUUUGCGCACGAGUGCACUUUGGCGGCGUUGGCAGCAAACUCGGGGUGGCCAUGCACGAGCUCGAGGGGCGCUGCCGCGACGGCGGGCUCAAGGGACGGGGCCACGGCCAGCUCAAGGUGGCAGCCACCACAAGCUCCGCCUGUAACACAGAUCGAAGGAAAAGUUGAAUUGCUGGAGUCCAAAUCGAAAUUCUAUGGUCCAGAUCGAAGCACAGGAGGAAAAUGAGAGCUUUCAUCAGCAAGGUGCAGGCUUGCCAAUGGAAUAGAAAAUAGAAAAGGAGGCGCGUUUCAAGGCACGGCGAGGCCUGCAGGUGGGCAGCCAGACGUGGACGGCGGCGGCCAUAGGCGGCUGGAGGCGACACGCACGGCGGGAGCCGGGGAGCACGCGCGGGCAGCCAAACGCCGGCGGCCACAGCAACGGGGCGCGCGGCAGGCCAUGCGGGCGGCCGCCACCACGGGCCUGGCGUGGUUGCUCUCAAGCGGCGACUCGCGGACAGCGCAUGGCGGGGCACCAUGGCUACAUAGCGUAGGCGACGGCGACCUCCAUGGUGUGGGGAGCCAUCGAGACGACUUUUUUGUAUUUUUAGAUUUUUUUGAAAGAUUCUCACAAAUACGUCGAACCAAUUUUAAAAAUGGAUCCUUAGCUUGGCACCAUCCACGCUGGCGCCAAGCUACAACGUCUCGGUGCCAGCCACCCUAGCGCCAAGAUCCAUGCGCAGCUGCUGACGCGGAUGUCGAUGGCGCCAAGCUUGACGCCGUAGAUCAUGGCGCCGAGCUAUUUACCCCGUACUUCUUCGCAUUUCGAACUAAACAAGUACAAUUAUUCCGAGGAGUGUGCAAUAAACUAAACUGUGGUUCAACCGGUUAGGAGGUGGGCUUCUUAUCUUGGAGACUUGAGUUCAAACCCCUGUGUUGAACCUUUUUUUCUACAUGACCUUGGCGUCAGGAUGGCUGGCGCCGAGACGUUGUAGCUUGACGCCAGCUAAGGGUCUAUUUUUAAAAUUAGUUUCGUCGUGAGCCUAUUUGUGAGAAUCUUUCGUAAAAAGGGUUUAAAAAAAGUCAGCCAUCGAGAUGGAGCUGCAGGAUGGGUCUCACGAGUCACGAGGGUGGAAACGAGGCCAUGCCCGCAUCGCUAAAAUCGCUGGUUUCAUCAUCUUUGGUGUUACCGAGCCGACAUCGUUUCUCAGGAAGGAAAUCGUUUCCUUCUCUCUUCAAUAAAUGGCUAGCCACAUCAACAAUUCGUCUACGUGACUGUGUAUUUAUUAAUAUGAAAAUUAUUCUCGUCACUGUGGUGGACUGCCUUGAAACGUGAGAGGAGGGUUGCCAUUCGAUUUUCAUUAGAUACAAGCCGGUAGCUGGACGUGCAAAAUCGAAAACUAUAGACCUAGCUUGGUUACUCUUGCUUAUUUUUAUUUUUAGUACCCGUUGUAUCGAAUGUUUAGAUACUAAUUAGGAGUGUUAAACUUAGACUAUUUACAAAACUCAUUAUAUAAGUGGAGGCUAAACGGUGAGAUGAAUCUAUUAAGUCUAAUUAGUUAAUGAUUUGACAAUGUGUUGCUACAGUAAACAUUUGCUAAUGAUGAAUUAAUUAUGUUUAAUAGAUUUGUCUCGCCGUUUAGCCUCCAUCUGUGUAAUGGAUUUUGUAAAUAGUCUACGUGUAAUACUCCUAAUUAGUAUCUAAACAUUUGAUGCGACACGUGUUAAAAAUAAGCAAAGGGAACCAAAAGACUCGUAAUUAUGAGAAAGGUUAGUGACAAUAGGACAACACUGAAUGUCAAUAUUGCUUCUUCUUCCCGUUGGACCUCCGCCUCCCUUGCACACAUCCCCAUUCCUCAAUCCCGUCCAUUUCGCAGCCUCCUAGCUCCUAUACUGAUCGAAUAACAAGCUUGAUGCAUCCGGCCCUGGUCCUCUUCCCGCUGGCCGCCUCCUUGCUCCUCCUCCAAGACCAUGCAAGCGCCGACUGCGAGCCGGCGACAUGCGGGAACCUCACUCUCAGAUACCCAUUCUGGCUGGGCAGCGGCAACCAGACCUCAUCACCCUGCGGCCACCCGUCCUUCGAGGUCUGGUGCAGCGACCGCCGCCGGAGCGUAGCCUCACUGAAGGGCUCCUCCAUGCACAUCCUCUCCAUCGAUUACACCAACUACUACUUCGUCGCCUCCCACACCAGGGUCGCCGCCGCCGACGGCGUGUGCCGCACCGACUUCAACAUGUCGAUCAGCAUCGCGCUCAGCCCGUUCACCAUUAGCCCCCGGAACCGCGCCCUGUGCUUCCUCUACAACUGCACCGGCGGCGCGGCCCCGAUCGGGCCCGACGAGUACGUGAACGCCACCUCCAUCAGCUGCCGUGACCCCAUCUACGCGUACCUCGGCGGGGCCUACUACUGGGACAAGCCGCCGGCGAUCGCGUCGGACGGGUGCACGUACACGUACAUCCCAGUGCUGGGGCGGGAGGCGGAGACCAUGACGGCGGCCAACUACAGCCGGCUCCUGAAGGACGGAUUCGUCCUGGAGUGGGAGGCGGCAGGGAUCGGCGACUGCGCCGCCUGCAACGCGAGGGGCGGGAAGUGCCGGUACGACAAAGCCACCGCGGCGUUCCGGUGCCUCUGCCCCGACGGCAGCCGCGCGGCGGGGUCGACAUGCUCCGGUGAGUAGUCACUCUCCCACUUCCCUCCGUACACGUACAGUAGUCAGCGUGUGUGGACGCCGGCGGGCGACCCGGCGCAUGCCGCUUUCAGCUGCAAGACUUUCUUGGUCCAUUGCAUCAUGCGGAUUGCGGCGUGGCGAAGGCGCAGCGGCGCUGGCGCAUGCAUCGGCGUCGCGGUAGUGCUGCCCAUGGGGUUGGAUCCUCGUAGGCCCCAUGGAGAUUUUGCACGCAGCUCUCGCUCUCAGUAACCUUGGCUAGUUUCCCUCGAUCCACCGGUAGAAUGGCCCGCGGCAGCUGGAGUGAUGGCUAUCUUAAGACUGUGUGGCGCGCGCACUGGCCACGCCGCAAUCCCUGGUAAACGCGUGUGCGGUCAAUGUCGUCUUCCCUGCCGGGGCAGCAGAGCGCUCGCCGCGGCGCGGAGCAACAGGGGAGGGGGCCUGCCGCUGCCGGGCGUCGCUUUCGCCUGCCAUUAGCUUCUCCACGUGCUCUUUCGCGCAUGAUCGUUCCCAUUAAGGGUGUUUGAUACGAGCUGCUAUAGGAGGGUCAUAUCGGAUGUUCGGAUGCUAAUUAGGAGGACUAAACAUGAGCUAAUUAUAAAACUAACUGCAGAACCCCUAUACUAAUUCGCGAGACGAAUCUAUUAAGCCUAAUUAAUCCAUCAUUAGCAACUGGUUACUGUAGCACUACAUUGUCAAAUCAUGGACUAAUUAGACUUAAUAGAUUCAUCUCGCGAAUUAGACUCCAUCUGUACAAUUAGAUUUGUAAUUAGACUAUAAUUAAUACUUCUAAUUAGUAUUCAACAUCCGAUGUGACAUGUCCUAAAGUUUAGGAGGUGGUACCAGUGCGCUGACACAUCAACGGUAGGGUAUAUCAUCACUUGCCUCGAGCUUUAGCUUGAUCCAUAUCUUGUUGCUAUUAGGGGGUGUUUGAUACAAGGUGCUAAAGUUUAGAAGGGCCAUAUCGGAUGUUCAGAUGCUAAUUAGCAGGAUUAAACAUGAGCUAAUUACUAAACUAAUUGCACAGAUGGAGUUUAAUUCGCGAGAUGAAUCUAUUAAGGCUAAUUAAUCCAUCAUUAGCAAAUGGUUACUGCAACACCACAUUGUCAAAUCAUGAACUAAUUAGGCUUAAUAGAUUCGUCUCGCGAAUUAGACUCCACCUGUGCAAUUAGUUUUGUAAUUAGACUAUAUUUAAUACUUCUAGUUAGUAUCCAAACAUCUGAUGUGACAGGUGUUAAAGUUUAGCAGGGUAUCCAAACACCGCCUUAGUAGGUUGCAGUUAGCAUUGCUGACUUGCUGUCUUUGCUGAAGUGUCCAUUUGUGGCAAGUAGGUGCACUAAGUGCGUGAGGCUAGGGUCACAAGUGGUCACCAAAUCUGCACUUCUGAUUUUCUAGUCAAAAUAAUAAGGGGCACUUUUUAUGGACAAGUACCUCAAGUAGGUUUACAUGAUAGUCUUUGGAUCCCAGCCCAAAUUACAGGCAAAUAUUGUCUUGCAGUGUUUGAUUUAUAAAUAUGAAAAAAAAUCCAAAUUAUCAUAGGCUUUGUUCAUAAGCUUAGAGCUUGGAGCUUUGCCGUAGAAAAGCAGCAUGAAUAACCAUUUAGAUGGAAUGCACAAGAAAAACACAUGACUUUGCAGGGGGUCCCACGUGUAUCCUGCUCAAAGCCCCUCCAAUGCUCCAGCAUCUCGGUCACCAGAACAGAGCAGUCAAACUCGGAGACGAGGACCGGUCCACACAUUCAGCACCAUCCUUCGCGCCUUCCUUCCGGCCCCAUUAAGGCUCCUUUAGCACGGCUCAUCCAUUGGCUUCUCGAGUGAUUUUUGAUGAAACCAUGCCAAACAGGCACCGUCAAAACGGCUAGCAAGCAAAAGCCAGGCGGAAGCCCCGCAAAAUGCGCUGAGUGCGUUCCUCCCCGCGCGAGAAGCUAAAAAUAGUGGCUUAUCUUGGCUUCUCCCCGUCGGAACGAGACCAAUUCCAUCGCUAACCUCGGUGCUUACCUGGUGGCGGGGUGGAGCACCGGUCCAGCGGCGGACGGAGGAGGAGAGAGGAGGGGAAAAAGAAAAGAAGGGCCUGGCGGGGUGGCGGCGGAGUGGCGGAGGAGGAGGGCCAGGGUGGUUAGGUGGUGGCGGAGGAGGAGGUCCGGUGCGGCGCCAUCGCGGCGGAUGGGCAGAGGAGGAGGUCCGGUGUAGCGCCGUGUUGGCGGAGGGAGCCGGGGUCGGCGGGGUGGCGCUGGAGGGGUGGAGGAGGAGGGUUGGGUGGAUAAGGUCGGGAGGGAGGUGCCGAUCGGAUAAGGAGAGAAGGGAGGAAAAGAAAAGAAGGGAGAAGGAAAGAGAAAUAAAAAAGAAAGAAAAAGAAAAGAAAAAUGAGGAGAAAAAAAAGAAAAGAGAAAAAAUAUAAGAGUAUUUUGGACAUUUGACACCUUCUUUCCAAUCUAAAAAGCCAGGAGAAGCUGAGCUAGAGCAAAAAAAAAUCUGUUUCAUUCCAGAUGCGCUAGAGCCAGAGCUGUUUUUUCACGAGCCAAAGUCGUGCCAAACGGACCCUAAAUCGUCAGGCUCGCCUCAUGAAUCACCUUCUCUUCUUCUCCGUGUUCUUCCCAAACCGUCUCCUUGUCGACCUCCAGCAACCCCAAGCGUCUUCCCUUGUGUCGCGAAGAUGCACGCGUGUCCUGUUCCUGCCGCUGCCCUGCUGUGCCCAGUCGUGCUACUUCUAGCUCUGCUUCCCAGUCCCGCCACCACCGCUGCCGCCCUGAACACGUCCAACCCCUGCGCGCCGGCGUUGUGCGGCGGCAUCAACAUCGCCUUCCCGUUCUGGCUCGCCGGCAAGCAUCCGCCGGAGUGCGGCUACAAGGCCUACCAGGUCACCUGCGACAAAGGCAAUCUUACUCUCAAGAACUCUUACUGGACGUACCAACUCCUGGACAUCUUCUACCAAAACAGCUCCUUCAGAGCCGACCUGUCUGGAGGCCUCUGCGACUUCAAGAAUUUCGUCAACGCCGCCUCCGACCUCGGCCUCUCGCCGUUCAAGAUUAGCCCCAAGAACCAGGAGCUGUUCUUCCUCUACGACUGCGAACUGCGGGGAAGACACGCACCUCGUUCUUGGACGCUCGUGAACUGUUCGUCGCCGGAUGACCCACCGUGGGCGUUUGCCUUGCUUGGGAAGAAUUACACGCCAGGUGGCACUGGGAUGCCACCGCCGAUGAAUUGCAACGUGUCGACGACUCCGGUGCUGGGAUACGAGGGAGCGACGGGGGCAGACUAUCAACGGCUGCUGAAGGGUGGUUCUCUGCUCGAGUACACGGAUGAUGAGCCCUGCAAGGAUUGCACGGAUACCGGCGGCCGGUGCCGGGUUAAUGUAUCCGACGAUGCGUUCGCGUGCUACUGCAACGACGGUGACGACGGCUGGUUUAUUUGCGGUGAGUAUGUUUAUGCUUAUGAUUUAGAAUUCAUUCUGCUUCUUACUGUUUCCUUCAUCUUGCGUUGCCUCCAUAUUCGACUCGAACCAACGUGCUUAAGCCUAGUAUAUUAGCACAACACAUGUCACUUGCCCAUUAUACAAUGUCAAUGGAAUGCAUUGGAUGCAUACUAGUAGCCAUCAUUCUAUCGACAUGGUAAACUCCAUUUUCAUUCUUUCUUCUCUAUUAAUACAUACCAAGCAGAGUCCUGCUCCUGCAAGCUGUUUCGGAAAAAAGAAGAAUUGGUAACAUCCAAACUAGCAAAGGUGCUAACACUAAAAAAUGUUAAAGAAAUCUUGAGAGAGAGAGAGACGACGAUUAUGCAAAUGCAUCCGCUGUGCAUCCGCUGUAAAUUAACUCCGCCGGCCGCCAUCGCAGUCGAUCUUGACCUCUGGGCUCAUCGUGUCCUUGGAACACGGACACAGAUGUGGCGUACCUUAUUUUGUAACAUAACUUAAGUACUCUCGCCUCUCCUACCCCCACAUCGCAAACAUGUCAAUUACAUGGUCGUAAAUAAUGUAAGGUAACAUAAUACAAAAUAGAAUAAGAGAUUCUGAUGGUCAAGGUGUAGCCUUAAAUACCACAAUGAGGCAAACUGCGGCAUGCGUCAAGUGUAUCAUCCACUAUCAAUGCAUCUCCUUUGUCAAUUGUCGCUUCCAGCUCUAAUAAAAAGGAAGGGCAACAUUAUACACACAAGAAUGGCAGAUCAUAGAUGUCAACUCAGCGGUGUAGCAUAUUAUUUGAAUUUUAUUUGCAAAUUCGGAACUGUCAAAUAUGUCACUCAUUCCUUCCUUUAAGCAAAAGAAUCAAUAAGUGCUAUUUGAUGCUUUUCUAAGCUAAUGCUAUUUCAGGUAGCAAAAGGAUUGGCACGAAGAUAAUAAUAAUGAUAGGUAUGCUACACUUAACAUAAUUUCAUAUCAAGCAAUUCAAAUUUCAGUACUUAUAUACUGCAACAAGUUACUUUUUUAUUUUUAGUCUUCGGAAGACCAGAGAAGAGCUAUUAUAACAUUUAUCAUAUAUGAUCCUGCAUAGAUUCUAAAAUGAAAUUUUAGAACAAGUUAUCCACAAUCUGUGUCUUCUAUUAUAAAUUAGGCAACUUUGAGCAAGAUUCACUGUCCUUAAUUAUAUAGCUUCUUAAUAUUUUCCAGCUAUGCACUUCUUCUUUUAUUUUAUUUCUAUAAAAAGAGAUAACAACGGAUUUUAAUGAUCUUGGAAAUCCGAAUGAUAAUAAUAUAGCAGCUCACCGUUUCAAGAGAAAAAUAACAUCUGCUUUAAUUUCAGUUUGGAUGACAGUAGCUGCAAGCUUGCUCCUACCAUGUAUAUAUGUGCUUGUAUGGCAUAGAAAGAGAGGAAAGCUACAUUUUUUCUUAUGUGAAAAGACUAGCAGAAGCACUCAAAGGAACAUUGAGGCCCUAAUAGUUUUGCAUGGAUCCCUAGCUCCAAAAAGAUACAAGUAUUCAGAAGUAACAAAGAUAACGUCUUCCUUUAGUAAUAAGCUUGGGGAAGGUGGUUAUGGUGCAGUUUUCAAAGGAAGGCUAGAUGAUGGUCGUCAAGUUGCUGUGAAAUUCUUGCAUGAUUCCAAAGGAGAAGGGGAGGAGUUUGUUAACGAGGUUAUGAGCAUUGGUAGGACCUCUCAUGUUAAUAUUGUUAACUUAUUUGGGUUUUGUUUGGAAGGCUCAAAGCGGGCCAUAAUAUAUGAGUACAUGCCCAAUGGUUCUUUGGAUAAGUUCAUAUACUCAGAGAAUCCUAAAGCAGUUUUAGGAUGGGAUAAGCUCUACA